rnacentral:lncRNA from 1 species
GGAGCCUGGGGGCGAAGCGGCGGAGCCUAGUCUCCUUAGUAACCGGGACGGAGCCUUCCAGACAAGCUUGCCUGUGGAUAUUUGCUUGCACUGCACUGCCUGUGCCUCCAAGUGCUUGGUCCCCCAAACUCCGGAGUCUCGGCUGCAAUGUUGCCUUUUCACGCGGUCUCUACAGCCCUCCUACAUACACUUAUGUACACCUGAUAAUCUGUAAAAACAGUGCCGGGCAGAAGGGAGUAUCAUGUCUGGACGAUACACAUCAGGUGUUCCACAAACACCCGAGAUAAGGAUGAAGAAGGGAUGCAUUCUCUGGUAGAAGGAGGAUCCUCUAGCCCGCAGGCACCCCGUGUGACUCUUCAGGAGUGAAUGAAGCCUGCGUCGUCUUCUAGGCUAGGCCCAGAAUGUUUCUGAGGUUAGUUCCUGUAUUUAUUUACUUAUUCGUUCAACAUUCAUCUAGCGUCUAUGAAAUGCACACAAACACUCCAGCACCAUAAGGCAGGGGGGAGGCUUGGACUCUAAACUGACCUUGGAUAUCUCUGAUGACACAAGAAUGACUUCCUGGGGGUGAGGAGGGUACAUUGCAAGCAGAGUUUUGAAGAAAGAAUAGGAGUUACUCAGAGUUAGGAUUCCUGCAAGAAGGGGAGGGACAGUCAACCUUCACACCUGGCCUGCUUUCUGUCCCCAUUCCCACCCAUUCCGGCAUUGACCACCAGAGGGCACAUGGCCCCCAUCAAUCGGAACUAGUUAUCCCACUAGAGCCAAGUCUACUGUGGUGAGGCAGCCCCUCAGUCGUUUAAACACGCCAAUAUUCAAUGGAGAGACCUUCCUCUGAGCAGCUCAGGGUAGUUGAAAAGUUAUGGGGCAGUGGGCGUGGGUUGACUUCCCAAUCAAGCCAUUGCUGUGUCAUUGGGCAAAUAGCUUAACCUCUCUCUCUGAACCAUGGCAGAGCUUGCAUCCUGGGAGCCUUCUCAUACACACACACACACACACACACACACACACACACACACACACACAGUCGGGGUCUAGCCUCAACACAGGAUCGGAGUUUUCAACUGGAAGCAGUGAUAUCUGGAAGACCCAUAAUAAACUCACACAGUCAACUUUUCGGGUACAAACUGACAGGCUUAAAGUUGAGCUCUCCCCCCCCCCCCCACUUUCUCUCUUUCAGCUUGACGCAGUAUGUACUCUUGAGGCUGCGGUUGUGCUCUUUCGUUUGCUCCCUUUCUCACACACUCUCCUCUCACUCUCUCCUCUCACUCUCUCCUCAUACUCUCUUUCCCACACACACCCCUCAUAUUCUCUCUCCUUUCACCCUACACUCGCCUCACACCUUGCACGCCUCAUGAGUACCUCAUUCUCACCUUUCUCUUGCCCCAGUCUUUUAUUGGUAUUCCAAAAGCAGGUAGAAAAAGACAUUGUAUAAUCAUUACCAAAUCAAAUUCAAAAGAAUAAUCAUGUCCCACAAAGAACCAGGAAUUACACUUUUUCCCCAAAGUUUCAAGCUUCCCCUAUUCCCAGGCCUGUGGCUAAAAUAAUAAUAACUGCAAACUUACCAUCAUUUAAACUUUAACUUUUGACUUAUUGUACUUCAGAGGUCAGAGCUCCGAGAUCAGCUACACGUGCUUUCCCGUGACGCUCUAAUGACAAAUGACAUGGGCAGAGCUGCCAGGCAGUGGCCAGAAAGAGUCAGGUUAACCCUUAACUCAGUAAUUCUGCUAGCUUUCUGCUUCUGCACAUUGCACACAAUGACUCUCCUAAGAGUCCCAAUGUCUUGACUUAGUUUUACUAGUAUAUAACUUUAUGUAUCCUAUACUUGCUUAUCCAUACAUAUCCAAAGGAGACCAGGAACCUCUCUCAAAUGUGCAAAACUCAUUUCAUAACUUAAAUAGUUUUUUCCUUUCUGAUUUAAAGUAUCCCGUGUUUGUGUUCCCUUAUUCCAUGACUUUGUCUCUCAUAUGAAUGCCUUUUCAUAAUCCUAGUCAAUUCCUUCACUUUCUGAUAAUGGACUCUGUAUGGCUCUGUUUCAUUUUCUAAUAUUUCUAUUCUUUCCUAAUAAUUCUAUUCUUUUUUUUUUUUUUUUUGGUUUUUCGAGACGGG